rnacentral:rRNA from 1 species
CCUACGGGUGGCAGCAGUGGGGAAUAUUGGUCAAUGGGCGCAAGCCUGACCCAGCAACGCCGCGUGAAGGAAGAAGGCUCUCUGGUUGUAAACUUCUUUUUGCAGGGACGCAACAAGUGACGGUACCUGACGAAUAAGCCACGGCUAACUACGUGCCAGCAGCCGCGGUAAUACGUAGGUGGCAAGCGUUAUCCGGAUUUACUGGGUGUAAAGGGCGUGUAGGCGGGACUGCAAGUCAGAUGGGAAAACCACGGGCUCAACCUGUGGCGUGCAUUUGAAACUGUAGUACUUGAGUACUGGAGAGGCAGACGGAAUUCCUGGUGUAGCGGUGAAAUGCGUAGAUAUUAGGAAGAACACCGGUGGCGAAGGCGGUCUGCUGGAGAGCAACUGACGCUGAGGCGCGAAAGCGUGGGGAGCAAACAGGAUUAGAUACCCGUGUAGUC